rnacentral:rRNA from 1 species
AGAGUUUGAUCAUGGCUCAGAUUGAACGCUGGCGGCAGGCCUAACACAUGCAAGUCGAGCGGCAGCGGAAGGAAGCUUGCUUCCUUGCCGGCGAGCGGCGGACGGGUGAGUAAGGUAUGGGGAUCUGGCCGAAGGCGGGGGAUAACCACUGGAAACGGUGGCUAAUACCGCAUAAUCUCUAAGGAGCAAAGUGGGGGACCAUUAUGGCCUCACACCUUCGGAUGAACCCAUAUGAGAUUAGCUAGUAGGUGGGGUAAAGGCUCACCUAGGCGACGAUCUCUAGCUGGUCUGAGAGGAUGAUCAGCCACACUGGGACUGAGACACGGCUCAGACUCCUACGGGAGGCAGCAGUGGGGAAUAUUGCACAAUGGGCGCAAGCCUGAUGCAGCCAUGCCGCGUGUAUGAAGAAGGCCUUCGGGUUGUAAAGUACUUUCAGUCGUGAGGAAGGUGUUAAGGUUAAUAGCCUUAGCAAUUGACGUUAGCGACAGAAGAAGCACCGGCUAACUCCGUGCCAGCAGCCGCGGUAAUACGGAGGGUGCGAGCGUUAAUCGAAAUUACUGGGCGUAAAGGGCACGCAGGCGGUUAAUUAAGUUGGAUGUGAAAUCCCCGGGCUUAACCUGGGAAUGGCAUUCAAGACUGGUUAGCUAGAGUCUUGUAGAGGGGGGUAGAAUUCCAUGUGUAGCGGUGAAAUGCGUAGAGAUGUGGAGGAAUACCGGUGGCGAAGGCGGCUCCCUGGACAAAGACUGACGCUCAUGUGCGAAAGCGUGGGGAGCAAACAGGAUUAGAUACCCUGGUAGUCCACGCUGUAAACGAUGUCGAUUUGGAGGUUGUGGUCUAGAACUGUGGCCUCCGGAGCUAACGCGUUAAAUCGACCGCCUGGGGAGUACGGCCGCAAGGUUAAAACUCAAAUGAAUUGACGGGGGCCCGCACAAGCGGUGGAGCAUGUGGUUUAAUUCGAUGCAACGCGAAGAACCUUACCUACUCUUGACAUCCAGCGAAGCCUUUAGAGAUAGAGGUGUGCCUUCGGGAGCGCUGAGACAGGUGCUGCAUGGCUGUCGUCAGCUCGUGUUGUGAAAUGUUGGGUUAAGUCCCGCAACGAGCGCAACCCUUAUCCUUUGUUGCCAGCGAUUCGGUCGGGAACUCAAAGGAGACUGCCGGUGAUAAACCGGAGGAAGGUGGGGAUGACGUCAAGUCAUCAUGGCCCUUACGAGUAGGGCUACACACGUGCUACAAUGGCGUAUACAGAGAGAGGCGAGCCUGCGAGGGGAAGCGGAACUCAGAAAGUACGUCAAAGUCCGGAUUGGAGUCUGCAACUCGACUCCAUGAAGUCGGAAUCGCUAGUAAUCGCGGAUCAGCAUGUCGCGGUGAAUCCGUUCCCGGGCCUUGUACACACCGCCCGUCACACCAUGGGAGUGGGUUGCAAAAGAAGUAGGUAGCUUAACCUUUUGGAUGGCGCUUACCACUUUGUGAUUCAUGACUGGGGUGAAGUCGUAACAAGGUAACCGUAGGGGAACCUGCGGUUG